CAGUAUCACCGUGUAAACUGAUCACUUACACGAAAACACUUGAAAUAAAACCCUGUCAAACAGUUGAUAUUGAACUUAGAAAAUGUCAAGGAUAUUGCCCAGGAUCAUCAGAGUAUGAUAUUAUCACAGGCAGUAUGAAGCACAAAUGCACAUGCUGUCAUGAAAAAGAGCAAGAAGUAAGGAACAUACAACUUCUGUGCGAGGAUAAACCAAGAACCUUUGCAUAUAUUUUCAUCAAAUCAUGUACGUGCAAAGAAUGUGAAUUUGAUUAAUACUGAGAAUAGAUUUAUUUUGCUGCUUAAUUUGAAUCAAAAUUCAAUGUUUAAGAAAAUUGCUUUCACGGUAAAGUUACUAACUUAAUUUUAAAUCACAUGCUUAUUGAUCCUUACUGAAAAUCUAAUUUCAUGCAAAAUAAUGCUGUUGUAUUUGGAGAAUCUAUCCUUUUUGUUGCAAACCUAAUGGACUUUCAUGAAUAAUAAAUCAAUUUGUGAAUUAAA